rnacentral:rRNA from 1 species
GAUGAACGCUGGCGGCGUGCCUAAUACAUGCAAGUCGAGCGGACAGACGAAGCUCUUGCUUCUCUGACGCUAGCGACGGACGGGUGAGUCAUACGUAUCUAACCUACCGAUGAGACUAACGUCACUUCGGGAAACCUGAUAUCGUACCGGUUAAUAUGUUGAAACUCAGGGUUCUAUAGUGCACGCCCUUUUUGCUGUGACUUAUUGAUAUUUCCUGGCCGCAUUAGCUAGUUGGUACGGUAACGGCUUACCAAGGCAACGAUGCGUAGCCGACCUGAGAGGGUGAUCAGCCACACUGGAACUGAGACACGGUCCAGACUCCUACGGGAGGCAGCAGUAGGGAAUAUUGCGCAAUGGGCGAAAGCCUGACGGAGCAACGCCGCGUGAGUGAUGAAGGUCUUCGGAUCGUAAAACUCUGUUAGUAGGGAAGAACAAAUGUGUAAGUAACUAUGCACGUCUUGACGUUACCUACUCAGAAAGCAACGGCUAACUACGUG